rnacentral:rRNA from 1 species
CCUGAUCAGCAUGCCGCGUGUGUGAAGAAGGCCUGAGGGUUGUAAAGCACUUUCAGUGGGGAGGAGGAUUGAUAGGUUAAGAGCUAAUUAAUUGGACGUUACCCACAGAAGAAGCACCGGCUAACUCCGUGCCAGCAGCCGCGGUAAUACGGAGGGUGCGAGCGUUAAUCGGAAUUACUGGGCGUAAAGGGUGCGUAGGUGGUUUGGUAAGUUAUCUGUGAAAUUCCUGGGCUUAACCUGGGACGGUCAGAUGAUACUGCUGAACUCGAGUAUGGGAGAGGGUAGUGGAAUUUCCGGUGUAGCGGUGAAAUGCGUAGAGAUCGGAAGGAACACCAGUGGCGAAGGCGGCUACCUGGCCCAAUACUGACACUGAGGCACGAAAGCGUGGGGAGCAAACAGGAUUAGAUACCCUGGUAGUCCACGCCGUAAACGAUGUCAACUAGCUGUUGGUUAUAUGAAUAUAAUUAGUGGCGCAGCAAACGCGAUAAGUUGACCGCCUGGGGAGUACGGUCGCAAGAUUAAAACUCAAAGGAAUUGACGGA